UUAAUUCCGGGGAGUACCGUAAUGGUGAGAAGCGGAAGAAAGCGUGAUGGAGUAAUUCGACAAAUUCCCGGAGCCCAUGAAAAGGGGGAUACCGUCCGUACCGAGAACCGACACAGGUGCCCCUCGCUGAGAAGGCGAAGGCGUGUCGGAUUUAAUCGUGUUAAGGGAACUCGGCAAAUUGGCCCCGUAACUUUGGGAGAAGGGGUGCCUGCCUGGAGAUCAGGCAGGUCGCAGUGACCAGGGAGCUCUAACUGUCUAAUAACAACAUAGGAGACUGCAACUCGGAAACGACUAGUAUAGUCUCUGAUUCCUGCCCAGUGCGAGUAUCUGAACACCCAGUUCAAUGGGACGAAGGACUCGUAAACGGCGGGGGUAACGAUGACCCUCUUAAGGUAGCGUAGUACCUUGUCGCUUAAUUGGCGACUUGCAUGAAUGGAUUAAUGAGAGCUCUACUGUCCCUAACACGAAUCCGUUGAACCUUUUGUCCUAGUGCAGAGACUAGGGACUCCUAUUGGGAAGUGAAGACCCCGUGGAGCUUUACUGCAGCCUGUCGUUGAAUUACGGUUUUACAUGCGCAGCGUAGAUGGGAGGCGUUAUAUCCGUUUCUUUCGGGGAACGGGGAGCCACCAAUGGGACACCAUCCUUGUUUGGCUGUAAUUCUCACUCGUCUUUACGAGGACAUCGAUAGGUAGGCAGUUUGGGUGGGGCGCCACACCCUCGAAAAAAUAUCAAGGGUGCCCUAAGGUCAACUCAUGUGAGUCAGAAACUCACAGUAGAGUGAAAGAGCAAAAGUUGGCCUGACGCGAUUGCGCAUAGCAAGCAAUCGCGAGAGGAAACUCGGGUCUAACGAACCAAUAUGCCCUUUUGGUGAGGGCUAUUGACGACAGAAAAGCUACCCCGGGGAUAACAGAGUCGUCGCCGGCAAGAGCACAUAUCGACCCGGCGGCUUGCUACCUCGAUGUCGGUUCUUUCCAUCCUGGCUGUGCAGCAGCAGCCAAGGGUGAGGUUGUUCGCCUAUUAAAGGGGAUCGUGAGCUGGGUUUAGACCGUCGUGAGACAGGUCGGUUACUAUCUAAUAGGAGUGUCAGGAGUCUGAGGGUAAGAAUGAAAUAGUACGAGAGGAACUUUCAUUCGGCGCCUCUAGUCGAUCGGUUGUCCGACAGGGCAGUGCCGAGCAGCCACGCGCCAAGGGAUAAAAGCUGAAAGCAUCUAAGCUUGAAACCCGGCCUAAAAAGAGACUCCGUUACAGGACAUGAGUAAAAGACUCGUUUGAUAGGCUCGGGAUGUACGCACGAAGGCAACGACGUGUUCAGUCCGCGAGUACUAACGUCCAAAUACCCCUG
rnacentral:rRNA from 1 species